rnacentral:rRNA from 1 species
CCCUCAACGGCGGCAGCCCUUGUGUGUAGGUGCCAGAAUUAAGUUGUGUACUCAGGAGAGACUGUCAGGGAUAACCUGGAGGAAGGUGGGGAUGAGGUCAAAUCAUCAUGCCCCUUAGUCUUAGGGCUACACGCGUGGCACAAUGGGUAGUACAGAGGGUUGCCAAGUCGUAAGGUGGAGCUAAUCCCUUAAAGCUACUCUCAGUUCGGAUUGUAGGCUGAAACUCGCCUACAUGAAGCUGGAGUUACUAGUAAUCGAAGAUCAGAAUGCUGCGGUGAAUGCGUUCCCGGGUCUUGUACACCCCGCCCGUCCCACCACGGGAGUUGUAGACGCCCGAAUCCGAUCAUCAAACCUUUUCGAAGAACUACUCGAAGGUGGUAACAAUAACUGCGGUGACUUUGUACCACGAUCGCCGUAGCGGAAAAUCACUCUGGAUCCCCUCCUUUACAAGG